rnacentral:tRNA from 1 species
AGUCUGUGGUCGAGUGGAUAAGUUGUUGUUUACUGGAAUUGAGAACCGGAAUAGGCGCGGGUUCGAAUCCCGUCGCCUG